rnacentral:lncRNA from 1 species
UCUCAUAGCAUGCAGACCGUCCGCCCUAGGUCUCAGACCGUCCGCCCUUAGGUCUCGGACCAUCCGCCUAUAGUCCGCAGAAUAAUCAGAGACUAUGCAGUCUUCAAGGUGUUUGUGUUGAGGUUUUGGCUUGGUUGCUUCUUGAGGAUCCCACUGUGUCCAUUGGUCUUUACCAUAGGCAUCCAGUCUCCUAGUUGGCUCGUGGAUCUCCCCUUUUCCGAUUGGAACAGAGGCCUAAGUUUUUGAAAGAAAUUUUAGAGGCUCCCAUCCACCCCUCCCCCUGUGGUCGCCGUUUCGAUCCUUCACUUGUAUAGACGCAUGUUCACACGACAUUGAAAACACCUUAAGUUGACUCUGAAUUAGACACCCUUUAAAACAUCCAGAGCAUCUGGACACGCUUUAAAGUGUAUCAUAC